rnacentral:rRNA from 1 species
GCCCACCGGCUAGCCCCCACCCUAGAACCAAAUAUCCUAUAUAUAUACUUCCCCCAACCCCACCAUAAACAAACCAUUCUUCCUCCCCAGUACGGGCGACAGAAAAGGACAACAGGAGCUACAGAUAAAGUACCGCAAGGGAACGCUGAAAAAGAAAUGAAAGAACUUUAUUAAGCAGAGAGAAGCAAAGAUUAAUACUUGUACCUUUUGCAUCAUGAUUAAGCUAGUAAACUUAAAGCAAAGCGCCCUUUAGUUUUACCCCCCGAAACCAGACGAGCUACUCCGAGACAGCCUUUUUAGGGCCAACCCGUCUCUGUGGCAAAAGAGUGGGAAGAGCUCCGAGUAGAGGUGAUAAGCCUACCGAGCCUGGUUAUAGCUGGUUGCCUAAGAAAUGGAUAGAAGUUCAGCCCUUGAGCUUCCCAACCCCUCCCCCCCAGGUCCAGGGAAGCUCAAGGAGUUAGUUAAAGAAGGUCCAGCUUCUUUAAACAAAGACACAACUUUUUCAGGAGAUAAAAGAUCAUAAUUAAACCCAAGGAAUCUUAUUUUAGUGGGCCUAAAAGCAGCCACCUACAGAAAUAGCGUUAAAGCUUAAAUAAGUCCCCCCCCCCAUUAUCCCGAUAAUCAAUCUUUUCCCCUUGCAUUAAUAGGCUAUCCCAUGCCCCCAUGAGAGAAACGAUGCUUAUAUGAGUAAUAAGAGGCACACGACCCUCUCCCCGCACACGUGUAAGUCGGAACGGACCCCCCACCGACAAUUAAUGGCCCCAAAAGAGGGCACUGUGGAAAAAACUAAUAAACUAGAUAAGACCACAAUAUACUACCAUUAAACCCACACAGGUCUGCCGACAGGGAAAGACUAAAAGAGAAGGAAGGAACUCGGCAAACCCACGAGCCCCGCCUGUUUACCAAAAACAUCGCCUCUUGCAAGAUCAAAGAAUAAGAGGUCCCGCCUGCCCUGUGACUUAAGAGUUUAACGGCCGCGGUAUCUUGACCGUGCGAAGGUAGCGCAAUCACUUGUCCUUUAAAUGAGGACCCGUAUGAAUGGCAUAACGAGGGCUCAACUGUCUCCCCCCUCUAGUCAAUGAAAUUGAUCUUCCCGUGCAGAAGCGGGAAUACCCCCAUAAGACGAGAAGACCCUAUGGAGCUUUAGACAUCAAGCAGCCCACAAAAAACAGUCCGCACCAAUGGCUUAAAACAACCUGGAAACUCUGCUGAACUGUCUUCGGUUGGGGCGACCGUGGGAUACAAAAAACCUCCCAUGAGGACUGGGAAAACUUCCCAAAACCAAGGGCUACCGCCCUAAGCAACAGAAACUCUGACCUUUAUGAUCCGGCCUACCGGCCGAUCAACGGACCGAGUUACCCUAGGGAUAACAGCGCAAUCCCCUCCUAGAGCCCCCAUCGACGAGAGGGUUUACGACCUCGAUGUUGGAUCAGGACAUCCUAAUGGUGCAGCCGCUAUUAAGGGUUCGUUUGUUCAACGAUUAAAGUCCUACGUGAUCUGAGUUCAGACCGGAGUAAUCCAGGUCAGUUUCUAUCUAUGGUCAUGCUCUUUUCCAGUACGAAAGGACCGAAAAGAAGGGGCCCAUGCCCCAGGCACACCCCACCCUAAUUUGAAGAAAUCAACUAAAACAAGAAAAAGGACAUAUCCAACACUUGUUUAAGAAAACAACAU